AAGGAAGAGGGAAGUGAUCAACGGUGCCUGUCGCUGUCGAGCCUGGAGCAUCUACCCCACGGAGGUCAGGGGUUUUACUUCAAGUGCAAGAAGCGCCCUCUGACUCCUAGUGAUGGAGCCCAAGCGUUGAUUGAGAUUUACAGAGUCCUUGGCCUGGAAGAAGACAGUCUUGUCCAGGAGGCAUCAUGUGGAAGUUCCCAGGCUAGGAAUUGAAUUGGAGCUGCAGCUGCCAGUCUACACCACAACCACAGCAUCACAGGAUCUGAGCCGUUUCUGCAACACACACCACAGCUCACAGCAACACCGGAUCCCCGACCCACUAAGUGAGGCCAGGGAUCGAACCCACAUCCUCAUGGGUACUAGUCAGACUCGUGUCCGCUGUGCCAUAAUGGGAACUCCCAAUUUUGUGUUAACUUGACUGGGUCAUGGGGUGCCUAGAUAUUCACUUUAACACUGAGGGUGGUUUCAGAUGAAAUUAAUAUUUAAAUUUGUACACUGAGUAAAACUAAUUGCUUUCCCUAAUACGGGUGGGUCUCAUCCAAUCACUUGAAGGCCUGAAUAGAACAAAAAGCUGAUCCUUUCCCCCAAAUAAGAGAGAAUUCUCCUGACUGUAUGGCCUUCAAACUGGGACAUUGAUUUCUCCUGCCUUCUGCCUCCAACUCGGCCCUUCCUCUCGGCUCUUCCUGUGUCUCAAGCCUGCCUCCCUUCAGACUGGAACUAUAUCACCAGCUCUCCUGGGUCACUAGCUUGCAGACUCACUCUAGAGAUCUCAGAACUUGCCAGCCUCUAUAACUCUUUUGUUUUGGUUUUGGUUUUUUGUUUUGGCCACAACCAUGGCAUAUGGAAGUUCCCAGGGCCAGGAAUCCAACCCACAUCCUCAUGGAUACCAGUCAAGUUCUUAACCUGAUGACCCACAACGGACACUCCCAGUCUCUGUAGGUCACAGACCUGGCCCAGAUCUGGCGUUGCUGUGGUUGUGGGGUAGGCCGACAGCUAUAGCUCUGAUUGGACCCCUAACCUGGGAACCUCCAUAUGCUGCAGGUGUGGCCCUAAAGAUCAAAAAAGAAAGAAAGAGAGAAAGGAAGGAAGAAAGAAAGAAACAGGUGGAAGGGCUCAAUCUGAGAAACCGGAAAAUUAAGAUGUGGACCCAGGUCGUCACUGCCGGAUCCUCAGUCUCCUGGGCUGCACGUCUGCAGGCGUUUUCCUGGGUGCAGGGUUCAUGCACGUGACUGCAGAAGCCUUGGAGGGAAAUGAGUCAGAGAUCCAGAGGUUGGUGAUAGAGAUGAGCAGCAGACUUGCUGAGCUGCGGGCCUGUGAGGCCAGAAUGAUGAACAGAACUAGGGGAAGAAAGGGGAGAAGGUAAAGACGCCAACGACAUGGGUGGAAGGACAAGGAAGAUGACGGCUCUUGUCAUGUGUGGAAUGAUGGAAACAGGUCAGAUUGAGGAGAGCUCCCAUUGCGGCUCAGCGGGUUAAGAACCCGACUAGUAUCCAUGAGGAUGCUGGUUUGAUCCCUGGCCGCGAUCAGUGGAUUAAGGAUCCGGUGUUGCCGUGAGCUGCAGCCUAGGUCUCAGAUGCGGCUCGGAUCCCGCGUUGCUGUGGCUGUGGUGUAAGCCAGGCAGCUGCAGCUCCGAUUCGACCCCUAGCCUGGGAACUUCCAUAUGCUGCGGGGCGGCCCUAAAAAGACCAAAAAAAAAAAAACCCGAAAACAAAAAACUGGUUAUCUGGAAGUGAAGAGGAGCAGAAGGGCUGUCACGUAGCCCCUGACCUGUGAGAUGGAGGAAUAUGCCAGACCUAGCGGAGCAAUGGAGAAAGAGGAGAUACAGCCCGUAAGCUCAACCACUCACCAGUGUGCCUCUUCGCAUAUUUUCAGUGUGGAAGCCCGAGUGGCCUUGACAUGGUCAAGGUCUCCUGAGAGUCAUUCCCGUCUCAGCCUGUCCCCUGUCCGUCCCACUCCCCUCCCCAUUAGCUGAGAUACCCCUGCCUCCUCACAAACCCAGCUGAUGCAGGGUUCAGUGAGAAGACAAGCCUGAGAAAAAACUAAAUAAAAAUAUCUGACGCGGGAAA
rnacentral:lncRNA from 1 species